rnacentral:rRNA from 1 species
GAUGAACGCUGGCGGCGUGCCUAAUACAUGCAAGUCGAGCGAACGGACGAGAAGCUUGCUUCUCUGAUGUUAGCGGCGGACGGGUGAGUAAGACGUGGAUCACCUACCUAUAAGACUGGGAUAAUUUCGGGAAACCGGAGCUAAUACCGGAUAAUAUUUUGAACCGCAUGGUUCAAAAGUGAAAGACGGUCUUGCUGUCACUUAUAGAUGGAUCCGCGCUGCAUUAGCUAGUUGGUAAGGUAACGGCUUACCAAGGCAACGAUGCAUAGCCGACCUGAGAGGGUGAUCGGCCACACUGGAACUGAGACACGGUCCAGACUCCUACGGGAGGCAGCAGUAGGGAAUCUUCCGCAAUGGGCGAAAGCCUGACGGAGCAACGCCGCGUGAGUGAUGAAGGUCUUCGGAUCGUAAAACUCUGUUGUUAGGGAAGAACAGAUGUGUAAGUAACUGUGCACGUCUUGACGGUACCUAAUCAGAAAGCCACGGCUAACUACGUG